rnacentral:tRNA from 1 species
GCCAAGUGGAUCAAGGCAGUGGAUUG